GGGGAUAUAGCUCCAUUGGUAGAGUGUUUGCUUUGCAUGCACAAGUUCCUGGGUUCAAUUCCCAGCACUUCCC
rnacentral:tRNA from 1 species